GAAAACACAUGUUAGAGCACCCACAGUGGGUGACUCGAUCGGUGUCACUCGAGUCACCCACUGAUCGAGUCCCCCACUGCAGCAAGGGGUGACUCCAGGGAGACUCGAUUUAUCGGGUGAGGCACGAUGGGCGAUAUGUAUGGCACGUGUGUGACACGCGCCUAAUUAAAAAAUAAUAAUAAAUUCAAUUUUUUUAAAAAAAAAUAGCCUUUGCCCACUUAAAAAAAAUUAUAAAUCGGUCAUUCGACCGUUGGCUUCUAUUUUCCUUUUUUUUCUUCCCUCUCUUCUUUAUAUACUCAUUUCUCCUUCUUCCUCAAACACCACAAUCAUUUUCUUUUAUCUUCUUCCUCAUUCUCUCUCAAAUAAACUGGAUCCAUACAAUUCAAACUAUUACGACCCAAAUUGGGUUUCCGACCUCUGCGGCGAUUAUCAUCCCGAUUUUUCGGGUUUCAACUUGGAGGAGGAACCUCGUCAAAGCGGCGAGGUGGAGGAGGCACCGCCCGCCCACAGUGCGUCGAAGACCAAGAAAGGAGGGCAGCGGAUGUGGGCACAAGCAUUUGUAUAUUUCCUUUGUGCAGUAGUAAAUGACCGAAUGUGUGGAAUAUAUGUUCUUUGUCAAACCCAGUCCCUCGUCACUAUGAGGAAGUUGAGAUCGAAAGCAAGGCAUUGCGUGUGGGAAAGGCGCUCGCUGUUGUCAGUGUUGAUCUGAGAAGUAAGAAGACUGGAAAACUGUUAGCUCAGUUCUCCCUACUAAAAUUGCAUCCUUUCAUGCUGCUACUUAGCUCUGUAAUAAUUUUAGAUUAUGUUUUUAGGUUUUUUUUUAAUGUAAUUUUUAGGUUUUUAAUAUUAAUGCAAUUUAUUUUUAAAUAAA